rnacentral:rRNA from 1 species
UUAAAUUGAAGAGUUUGAUCAUGGCUCAGAUUGAACGCUGGCGGCAGGCCUAACACAUGCAAGUCGAACGGUAACAGGAAGAAGCUUGCUUCUUUGCUGACGAGUGGCGGACGGGUGAGUAAUGUCUGGGAAACUGCCUGAUGGAGGGGGAUAACUACUGGAAACGGUAGCUAAUACCGCAUAACGUCGCAAGACCAAAGAGGGGGACCUUCGGGCCUCUUGCCAUCGGAUGUGCCCAGAUGGGAUUAGCUAGUAGGUGGGGUAACGGCUCACCUAGGCGACGAUCCCUAGCUGGUCUGAGAGGAUGACCAGCCACACUGGAACUGAGACACGGUCCAGACUCCUACGGGAGGCAGCAGUGGGGAAUAUUGCACAAUGGGCGCAAGCCUGAUGC